GUGGGGAAUCUUGCGCAAUGGGCGAAAGCCUGACGCAGCCAUGCCGCGUGAAUGAUGAAGGUCUUAGGAUUGUAAAAUUCUUUCACCGGGGACGAUAAUGACGGUACCCGGAGAAGAAGCCCCGGCUAACUUCGUGCCAGCAGCCGCGGUAAUACGAAGGGGGCUAGCGUUGCUCGGAAUUACUGGGCGUAAAGGGCGCGUAGGCGGAUCGUUAAGUCAGGGGUGAAAUCCCAGAGCUCAACUCUGGAACUGCCCUUGAUACUGGCGGUAUUGAGUGUGAGAGAGGUAUGUGGAACUCCGGGUGUAGAGGGGAAAUUCGGAGAUAUUCGGAAGAACAACAGUGGCGAAGGCGACAUACUGGCUCAUUACUGACGCUGAGGCGCGAAAGCGUGGGGAGCAAACAGGAUUAGAUACCCGAGUAGUCC
rnacentral:rRNA from 1 species